CCAAUUAAACGUCUAAAACUAAACUGUGUGAAAUUAGAUAAUGUACGAUUCAAAGUAGUUCAGGUCAUUAUUUCCAAAUUAAUUUGUCACACAUAACUGUGACAAAUAAAUUAAUUCAAGCGAAACAUUAUUAUAUAUAUAUACAGUAAACAGUGGGAGAGCUAACAAUCAAUCAAAAACCAAGAUGAAGUUCACAGCAAUUUUAUUCUGCGUUGUCAUGUUCGCAACUGCAUUUGUGACUGUAGCUGACCAAGUUCAAGCGACCAGCUGCUUUUCAAACAGCGACUGCAAAAGUCAAUGCCAACAAGUUUGUGAACCCUCAAGAAUUGAUGGCUUUUGUUCCAGAACUGAUCCAAAUGAUCUUUUCGGAUUAUGCUACUGUGUAAUUGUGUGAUUGUCAAUAAAGAAUCACAAUAUAUAUAUACAAUAUUA